GAUAAAUGCUGGCGGCAGGCUUAACACAUGCAAGUCGAACGGGUGUAGCAAUACAUCAGUGGCAGACGGGUGAGUAACACGUGGGAACCUUCCUAGGGGUACGGAACAACUCAGGGAAACUUGAGCUAAUACCGUAUACGUCCGUGAGGAGAAAGAUUUAUCGCCCUUAGACGGGCCCGCGUCGGAUUAGCUAGUUGGUGGGGUAACGGCCUACCAAGGCGACGAUCCGUAGCUGAUCUUAGAGGAUGAUCAGCCACACUGGGACUGAAACACGGCCCAGACUCCUGCGGGAGGCAGCAGUAGGGAAUCUUGGACAAUGGGCGGAAGCCUGAUCAAGCCAUGCCGCGUGAGUGAAGAAGGUCUUCGGAUUGUACAGCUCUUUUGCCAGGGACGAUAAUGACGGUACCUGGAGAAUAAGCCCCGGCAAACUUCGUGCCAGCCGCCGCAGUAA
rnacentral:rRNA from 1 species